rnacentral:lncRNA from 1 species
GUGGUUUUUCUUACAGUCAUUGUGUUUACCCAGUUCCUUCAUUGUAUCCUCUCAAGGGUUUCAACACUUUCCAGCAGCCACUCUCACAUCAAAUGAUUGCCAUCAGGAUUAAACAACUUACAGAAUUCAACACCCCACCACCCAGGUCUAUGAUGGUGAUCACCUGUACACGACUCUGCACUCCAGUGACUACGUCACUCAGUGGUAACAGAGAGCAAAGCUCUACCAUCUGGUCAUCCUCUCAGCUUGCCCAGUGGGGAUUUGUUGAAGUAAAUUUUUUUUUUUUUUUGUGACGGAGUCUCGCUCUGUCACCCAGGCUGGAGUGCAGUAGUGCGAUCUCAGCUCACUGCAACCUCUGCCUCCUGGGUUCAGCAAUUCUCCUGCCUCAGCUUCCCGAGUAGCUGGGAUUACAGGGCCAUCUUGCUGGCUUGCCACAGGUUAUGUGAUAAUGACUGGGCAUCAUUCAUGGGAAACUGCACUGCGUAAGCAGGCCUGGCUAGGCCCACAGUAGGCCCCGGGCACAUUUUCAGCUGCGAAGCGGAGGACUAGCAACCGGUGAGGUAGAAGGAGAACCAAGAGAUGGUGGGAGAAUGGGAACUGAGCUGAGAGAGCUUCCGGAAGGUUGCGGUGGCCUAGGGCGAUCCACGUCAUUGAGAAACGGCGUUAGGCUGAUUUCACGGGGCAGAUGACAUGGAAGUGCUGCUGAGGAAGACGCUGAGCUCCGAGGUGAAAAGGGAUGAGGACGCCUAAGAAGACACGAGCGCAAUACCUAAUACAAUUUCCUGAAAUUGUUUCAUGUCACACGUUAAAAUAAUAUGAAACACGUUAAAUAAUAAAAUGGUAUGAAGGUUUUGUCUG